rnacentral:rRNA from 1 species
UACGGAGGGGGCUAGCGUUGUUCGGAAUUACUGGGCGUAAAGCGCACGUAGGCGGCUUUGUAAGUUAGAGGUGAAAGCCCAGGGCUCAACCCUGGAAUUGCCUUUAAGACUGCAUCGCUUGAAUCAUGGGGGAGGUGAGUGGAAUUCCGAGUGUAGAGGUGAAAUUCGUAGAUAUUCGGAAGAACACCAGUGGCGAAGGCGACUCACUGGACAUGUAUUGACGCUGAGGUGCGAAAGCGUGGGGAGCAAACAGG